rfam:Myotis lucifugus cont2.37844, whole genome shotgun sequence.
UUGAAGGCGUGGAGACUGAAGUUCUCUAUAUCCACAGAACAGGCGUGGCACAGGCAGCGGCAGUGCAGCUUUUCCGCUGUCCCACCAGUGUGCCUCAUUCCUGGGCUAGGUGCCAUACGGCAGGUGAGGGCUGUUCAGUCUCCAUGCCCUCGAUCUUUGGCUACU